CUCAUUUUUCUACUGCUCGUGGAUUUACGCGCACGUUGGAACCGAAGAGAGCUCUGUUGUUGCAAUGUUCAGCCCACAAGAGCUUACUGGUGAAGGAAUGGGACAAGACCCAUCUUUAUGCAAAGCCAGCGUUACAGUAAUGUUCCAGCAUCUCAUAAUCUAUCCUGGGGAAUUCAGCUGCCUCCCAGGGUGAAUACAGGUAUUCCUGAUGACAGUCUGCCUCUAUCUUACAGAGCAGCUUGUUGCUAUAUACCAUUGAAAAGCCUUCAGAGCUGAGAGGUACUACUAACCAAUAACCUGCUUGGCUCAAAGGGCCAGCACCUUCUCUCUAAAGCCCAAGAGGAGUUUGAGGAAAACUAGGUGUCUGUGUUCACUCCAGGCUGAAGUUACAGGUCUGAGCAAAUAAGGUGUAUAAAAAAUGGAAUCUGUCUUGGAGGACAUCAGAAGGUGAAUUUUCCAAGUUCUUGGACAACCUAGCUGUUGAAAAGCUUUCUGGGUUUGGGGGGUAUUUCAGAUGUACCUUAAAGUGUUAGCAGACACAGAUUAAGACACUGGGAGCCAAUGAAACAGCAGUUGAGGGUUUGCUGUGUAUCACAUUUCUGUAUUUUAUCACCCCCUUCCUGCAACAUUAUUUAUCUGGAAUCUACCUGCCCUUUUGUUUUUUAGAUACAAGGGCUUGGUUUUGUUACCCAGGCUGGUUUCAAGGCCAUAGCUUUAAGAGAUCCUCUCACCACAGAUUUCCAAAGUGCUGGGAUUGCAGGUGUGAUUCAUGGCACCCAGACUUUGCUGCCUUUCUUACAUGAUCCAGGCCCAGAACCCAAACUCAGGCACUGUAUAGAUGACCACUUUCGUAAACUACUGACCUAGCUUGUUGCCAAUUGUUGAUUGAACUUCCCAUAACUCCACUUCGUGUCUGUUCCUCUGUAUACAGCCACCUUCUGUUCCCGUCAUGAGCCUUUAGGUCUCCAUUUGCAUAUUGCAAAUACUAUGUUCCAUGUAGGUAGCUCAUUCAGGGCCUUGCUCUUCACUUCAAAAAAGGUUCCCUUGAGGACUGGCUGUCAAUUUGUGUUGCUGUGUUGGUUGUUGAUGAAAAUAAUAAAAUGAUUGAUUACAUAGUCCUGUUUAAAAAAAAAAAAA
rnacentral:lncRNA from 1 species